GGGUAGUUUGACUGGGGCGGUCUCCUCCUAAAGAGUAACGGAGGAGCACGAAGGUCAGCUAAUCCUGGUCGGACAUCAGGAGGUUAGUGCAAUGGCAUAAGCUGGCUUGACUGCGAGCGUGACGGCGCGAGCAGGUGCGAAAGCAGGUCAUAGUGAUCCGGUGGUUCUGAAUGGAAGGGCCAUCGCUCAACGGAUAAAAGGUACUCCGGGGAUAACAGGCUGAUACCGCCCAAGAGUUCAUAUCGACGGCGGUGUUUGGCACCUCGAUGUCGGCUCAUCACAUCCUGGGGCUGAAGUAGGUCCCAAGGGUAUGGCUGUUCGCCAUUUAAAGUGGUACGCGAGCUGGGUUUAGAACGUCGUGAGACAGUUCGGUCCCUAUCUGCCGUGGGCGCUGGAGAAUUGAGGGGGGCUGCUCCUAGUACGAGAGGACCGGAGUGGACGCAUCACUGGUGUUCGGGUUGUCAUGCCAAUGGCAUUGCCCGGUAGCUAAAUGCGGAAGAGAUAAGUGCUGAAAGCAUCUAAGCACGAAACUUGCCCCGAGAUGAGUUCUCCCUGACUCCUUGAGAGUCCUGAAGGAACGUUGAAGACGACGACGUUGAUAGGCCGGGUGUGUAAGCGCAGCGAUGCGUUGAGCUAACCGGUACUAAUGAACCGUGAGGCUUAACCUUAC
rnacentral:rRNA from 2 species